ACGGAGGGUGCAAGCGUUAUCCGGAAUCACUGGGUUUAAAGGGUGCGUAGGCGGGAGAUUAAGUCAGUGGUGAAAUGUAGUCGCUUAACGACUAACGUGCCAUUGAUACUGGUUUUCUUGAGUUAUAGUGAGGUUGGCGGAAUGAGACAUGUAGCGGUGAAAUGCUUAGAUAUGUCUUAGAACACCGAUUGCGAAGGCAGCUGACUGGCUAUAUACUGACGCUGAGGCACGAAAGCGUGGGGAUCAAACAGGAUUAGAUACCCUGGUAGUCCACGCCCUAAACGAUGUUUACUUGUUGUUCGGUUUUAGGAUUGAGUGACGUAGCGAAAGCGUUAAGUAAACCACCUGGGGAGUACGCCCGCAAGGGUG
rnacentral:rRNA from 1 species